UCGGGAAUUUUGGGCAAUGGGCGAAAGCCUGACCCAGCAACGCCGCGUGAAGGAUGAAGUAUUUCGGUAUGUAAACUUCGAAAGAAUAGGAAGAAUAAAUGACGGUACUGUUUAUAAGGUCCGGCUAACUACGUGCCAGCAGCCGCGGUAAUACGUAGGGACCAAGCGUUGUUCGGAUUUACUGGGCGUAAAGGGCGCGUAGGCGGCAAUUCAAGUCAUCUGUGAAAUCUCCGGGCUUAACUCGGAACGGUCAGAUGAUACUGCUUUGCUAGAGUGCAGAAGGGGCAAUCGGAAUUCUUGGUGUAGCGGUGAAAUGCGUAGAUAUCAAGAGGAACACCUGAGGUGAAGACGGGUUGCUGGGCUGACACUGACGCUGAGGCGCGAAAGCCAGGGGAGCAAACGGGAUUAGAUACCCAAGUAGUCCCUGAGCGGGCUGGCAAGGCGCAU
rnacentral:rRNA from 1 species